CCUACGGGCGGCAGCAGUGGGGAAUAUUGCACAAUGGGCGCAAGCCUGAUGCAGCCAUGCCGCGUGUGUGAAGAAGGCCUUCGGGUUGUAAAGCACUUUCAGCGGGGAGGAAGGCGGUGAGGUUAAUAACCUCAUCGAUUGACGUUACCCGCAGAAGAAGCACCGGCUAACUCCGUGCCAGCAGCCGCGGUAAUACGGAGGGUGCAAGCGUUAAUCGGAAUUACUGGGCGUAAAGCGCACGCAGGCGGUCUGUCAAGUCGGAUGUGAAAUCCCCGGGCUCAACCUGGGAACUGCAUUCGAAACUGGCAGGCUAGAGUCUUGUAGAGGGGGGUAGAAUUCCAGGUGUAGCGGUGAAAAGCGUAGAGAUCUGGAGGAAUACCGGUGGCGAAGGCGGCCCCCUGGACAAAGACUGACGCUCAGGUGCGAAAGCGUGGGGAGCAAACAGGAUUAGAUACCCGGGUAGUC
rnacentral:rRNA from 1 species